rnacentral:rRNA from 1 species
UACGUAGGGGGCGAGCGUUAUCCGGAAUUACUGGCGUAAAGCGCACGCAGGCGGUUCGCCAAGUUUGGAGUGACAGUUGUCGGCUCAACCGACAAAGGACUUCAAAAACUGGUGAACUUGAGGUACGAGAGAGGAACAAUGGAACUCCAGGUGUAGUAGUGAAAAUGCGUAGAUAUCUGGAAGAACACCAAUGGCGAAGGCAAUGUUCUGGCUCGUUUCUGACGCUCAGGUGCGAAAGCCAGGGGAGCGAACGGG